UGGUAGAGCGCAACCUUGCCAAGGUUGAGGUCACGAGUUCGAACCUCGUGUGUCGCU
rnacentral:tRNA from 1 species